CGAACGCUGGCGGCGUGCUUAACACAUGCAAGUCGAACGAGAAAUUUUUCCUUCGGGAAAAAGAGUACAGUGGCGCACGGGUGAGUAACGCGUAGAUAAUCUACCCUGGUGUUCGGGAUAACAUCGCGAAAGCGGUGCUAAUACCGGAUACGCUCCUUCGGGAGGAAAGAUGGGGACCCUUCGGGGCCUAUCGCAUUGGGAUGAGUCUGCGUACCAUUAGCUAGUUGGUGGGGUAAGAGCCUACCAAGGCGACGAUGGUUAGCGGGUCUGAGAGGAUGAUCCGCCACACUGGAACUGGAACACGGACCAGACUCCUACGGGAGGCAGCAGUGAGGAAUUUUGCGCAAUGGGGGAAACCCUGACGCAGCGACGCCGCGUGGGUGAUGAAGGCUUUCGAGUCGUAAAGCCCUGUCAAGUGGGAAGAAGUGUGUAUGAGCUAAUACCUCAUGCAUUUGACGGUACCACUAAAGGAAGCACCGGCUAACUCC
rnacentral:rRNA from 1 species